CCUCUAUCACCUUUUUUUUUUUACUGUGAGCCUCACAACACGGUGAAAUGCACACACAGAAUGGACCCAAAGGCUCUGAGAAAGCCUGGGCCAGCUCUGAGUUCAGCAGCAAACCCAAAAUCCUGCUCUAGGUCAGAGCACAGAACAUUCCACACAACCCAGGGAGGGAGGAGCUGCUUCUUUCUUCCUGAUCUCUUUGUGACCUCUCCUUUUUACAGGCACAAGCUGUGUCACCUGAGCCUGGUGAAAUCUCAGAAUCCCAGGCUGGGUUGGGCUGGAAGGGACCUUAAAAAUCAUCCAUGAAAACUCAAAUCUCUUCCCAGGGUGAUGGAAUUUCCUUUAACCCUCUGAAGAAGGUUAAAAAUCCGAGCAGCAAACACCAGGAGUGGCAAGGAAUGAGGUCAGAGUUUGAAGAGCUUUUGAUAUAGAUUCUGUGCCAGAAACUUGACUGCAGGAAAAUCCCGGGAUCAUUUAUCCCUCACUGUCUGAUUUGGCAUUGACUUUGCUUCCCUCUCCCUAGGCUCAAAGACAAGAAAGCCAACACACAGAAUUAUUCUCCUGUAGGUUCUGCAGAUUUCCUGGAUUAUUGAUAUAAUUUUCCUUUUUGAUUGGAUGUUGCAUUAAACCCAGCUCUCUCUUCCCUCUGUCUUCAUUAAAUCACUUUAUUCUCCAUUCUCCCCAUUCUCCUUAAGCUCCCAGUUUUGAUAAAUCAUCCCUCAUCAACUGAUGGUGGGAACCACA